rnacentral:sRNA from 2 species
UGGCCGAAUGAAGGAUCUCAUUAUAGUAAACGGAGUGAAUUACUACCCCCAUGAGCUUGAACGUGCUAUUGAAGAAGCCAAACUCCCUAGGUUGAUCCCUACGUAUACAGUCGUCUUCUCUCAUCGCCCCAAUGGCGCCUCGACUGAAAAAGUUGUGGUAGUGUUCUCUCCAGCGUGCGGUCAUACGAGCGCCGGAAGCUUUGCAGCUUCAUUCGAUGCGAUCUCAAAGAUCACCGCUCGGUUACUUGGGGUAAGUCCGUACCGGAUAGUGCCAGUUGACACAUCACUAAUCCUAAAAUCGACUCUUGGAAAAAUCUCAAGGCCAAAAAUUGCGGCAGAAUAUCUCGCUGGGGAAUACGAUACCUGCUAUGCGACGG